rnacentral:misc_RNA from 1 species
UACGAAGGGGGCUAGCGUUGCUCGGAAUUACUGGGCGUAAAGCGCACGUAGGCGGAUCGAUAAGUCGGGGGUGAAAUCCUGGAGCUCAACUCCAGAACUGCCUUCGAAACUGCCGGUCUUGAGUUCGGGAGAGGUGAGUGGAACUGCGAGUGUAGAGGUGAAAUUCGUAGAUAUUCGCAAGAACACCAGUGGCGAAGGCGGCUCACUGGCCCGAUACUGACGCUGAGGUGCGAAAGCGUGGGGAGCAAACAGG